rnacentral:ncRNA from 1 species
AUAAAUCCUGAGAAAAGGGAUAGUAGCUAAAUUUAGGUUCAAUAUAGAGAGCUGAGGGUGGUGGAAUCUUAGCAAGAAGUGAUUUAGUGAAUGGGCCUUUGAGGAGUAAAUUGAAAUCACAAGUAUGUGAUAGUAGACUUUACCGUGUGUCGCACGUUAUAGCGAAUAGGGUAUGACAGUACCUGAAAUUGAGUGAUGUACAAAUAAUUUUUUGUACGUAAAUUAGGUGGCAACGCGGAUAGACUCCGUCCUAUUA